rnacentral:lncRNA from 1 species
UAGCCUGUAAUUAUUUUUUUUAUGAAUUGAUGUAUAGUGUUAUCAUAUCUAAUUAGUAGUAUGAUGAUAAUUAGUAAGCAGAAAAGGGUUAAUUCUUAUCAGCAAUCGCCUGGUGAGAAAGUUAAAAGUUUAAGAUUUCACAUGUCCAAGGUGUCAAUUGGAUUCCAAUUGUGCUGGGUUACAUCAAACAUCAAAAUUUAUGCAAAUAUUUAUUCAGCCUCACUUUAGAUUCAGAGUCAACUGGCACUGAAUCGAUCACAUGGUAUUUGUUCCCCACCUGGCCCUUACGACGCGCAGCUAGAUUGGGCCGGAUCCCAGGCUAGGUGGA